GAAAGCUUUUCUGUGUAUAUUGCUUGAGCAGGGUGGCAGAAAUUCUCCAAUCUACUGCAUGGUGAUUUCAAUAAUUUGGAAACCAAAAACAGGUCCGGUCCUGAGAUUUUGGGGGCCCGGGGCGAAACUAGAAUCCGAGGCCCAAUCAUAUAAAACAUCAUAUUAACCGAUAUAUGCAUGUAUGAUUUUUUGCCAAUUAACAUGUAGAGUGCAUGCACAAGAAAUAUUCUUAUCAAAUAAUUUAUACCACAUAUUAUACCCUGAAAAUUGGUACCUCAUCAAGAAUAGCAUAUUCUGUAAUGAAUUAAAUAUGUGCUCAUGAUCACUCACAUUGUUACCAUCCGUGUUGAUGUCAACAAUUAUCCAUGGUCCAUGGAUCGUUCUUGUUAUUCUGUCAACUAAUGUACUCAUUUUCUCUUUUUCCUUCCUCACGACGGGAUGCAUACUUCAUAGCUGACAUGACUGCUGAAAUUUGAAGUAAUAGUAAGCAAUUUAUCAUGCAAAGAUACAAAGUCACAAAAGUAGAUCAACCCAAUAAAAUCUUACCAACUGUCACACUGAAUUCACACGUGACAAAUCACAAAUAAAUAUCUAACCCUAAAUUUGUACGAGUAAGAAACAAAUAUCUAGCUAGCCAGGACUUGAGGAGUGGAGGAUGGAGGUAAGAUCUGCUCUCGUGGAUCAUGUCCCAGUAUCACGAACAGCAAGGCUUCAUGCGUACGAUCAUCAUACUUCCGACAUCUCUAGCACCACCGUCGACAUCUCUAGUGCUGCUCGAUCAUUGGCGUUUUGAAGACCUGCCAAGUCAUGAAUGCCCUGGCCACCUUACGCAACAGGUUGAUAUUGAAUUUUUCAAGUCAUGAAUGCCCAGGUCACCUUUCUUCGUGGGUCUACAUAUUAUAAGCCACCUUACCAUAUGGUAUUUCCUUUUGGUGUAGCCACCUUGCCAGAAAAACUUCCUGAUUGUUUUGUUCAUACCACCAAUAGUUGUCUUUGGCAGCUCAUACGAUAACCUUGAACUCUUCAAUUUGUCUAAGAUUCAACCUUGAACUCUGAAAUCGUCUAAGAAUCAACCCUGAACUAUCAAAACCGGCUAGGAAUCAACCCUUCUCUCCCCUAAAACUGCUUUUCACUAAGUAGACCUAGUUUUGACCCGUUGACUGGCCAGCCAGAGCCACGUCAGUGUAGUCACUUAACCCAUUUUUGAUCAAAUUGUGUCAAAAAAUGGAAGUGUCCAAAGAAAUCUUUAAAAUCAACACCAAUAUAGUGAUCAUUCUGGGAAAGUUUCACACAAUUUGGCAUAACAUAUUUAAAAAUACCCUGAAAUUUUCAGGUCUUUUUAGUCAAAUUUUUGUCAAAAGAAUGGAACUGUCCAGGAAAUUUUGAAAAAUUCUGUAAAAUUAACGCUAAUAUAGUGAUCAUUCUUGGAAAGUUUCACACAGUUUGCCCUAGCAGAUUUUUGAAAUGUCUUGAAUACAGUGUCAGCCCAUUUUUGGUCAAAUUUUAUCGAAAACACAAUUUUCCUGUGCCAGCGAUAGUGUUCCUCCUUUCCAUCCAUCAGUCUGUUUUUCCUCCAACGUCCAAUGACACCCAGUCAGCCACAUGUAACCGGCUACUACACACUGCUACCCCAAA